rnacentral:lncRNA from 1 species
AUGUAGAAAUUGAGGUUGGGUAAAACAAAUAAAAUCCGUCAAGUUCACUGAGACACUGAGUUUAUUAUUAUUUUCCACUAUUUUAAACUAUUUUUAACAGAAAUAUUCACUAUCUCACACACGUCGUCCGUCACACACCAUUCGCCAUUACCCCCUUCCUUCUCUCCUUUCCCCUCUCAUGCCAUCUCACUCACAUCAUCUCACUCACACACAAUCUGUACCGUUCGUUCCAUCGUCCCAGUCAUCCUACAGCUCGGCCAUCCUGAAGUUAAGUCUGCCCUCAGACCACCAAAACAAAGUUACAAUGAAUCAAGUAAGUAUAAUAAUUAUGGUAAGUAUAGCAAACAACAACUCAGAGCUAAGAAAUACAAUGAUAGCAUAGACUGGCAGCAACAAACACUUCCAUGCAAAAGUUAGGUAUCAUCAAACAUCUUAAAUUAAGAACAGUUUUCUUAAAAAUAAAAGUUGGGUGUCAUCAAACAUCUUAAAUUAAGACAGUUUUCUUAAAAAUAAAAGUUAGGUAUCAUCAAACAUCUCAAAAUUAAGAACAGUUUUCAUAAAAAUAAAAGUUAGGCAGGUAUCAUCAAACGUUUUUAAAUAAUCUUACUCUUAUCCUAAUAAAAAACACAACAUAGUAAAGUUUCAGUAUUACACAUUCUCUCAAUACACAAUAAUGGCUAAUUUUGAAUAAAAGUGUACAAUAAAUCAAGACUAUUUAGAAAUAUAACAGGCACUUAAUUAAAUUAUUAACCUUUUAAGUAGCAACAAUAUUACAUCACACAGCCACAGCACUGAAAGUUUAGAAGAAAUAAAAUACCUAC